GGCUUUAUAUUCAUUUCGUGAUUAUAGAAUGCAAUUCUAUAGGGGUGGCUUGAUUUGUCACUAAGGCUU
rnacentral:tRNA from 1 species